UACGAGUGCUUCGAGCGUUAUCCGGAAUCAUUGGGCGUAAAGGGUGUGUAGGUGGUUGUGUUAGUCUCGCGUAAAAUCUUUCGGCUCAACCGAGAGUCUGCGUGGGAAACGGCACGACUAGAGGAAGGGAGAGGUUUCUGGAACUCAUAGUGUAGCGGUGAAAUGCGUUGAUAUUAUGGGGAACACCAAAAGCGAAGGCAAGAAACUGGCCCGCUCCUGACACUGAAACACGAAAGCGUGGGUCGCGAAUGGG
rnacentral:rRNA from 1 species